rnacentral:rRNA from 1 species
UAAGGAAUAUUGGUCAUGGAGGCAACUCUGAAACCAGCCAUGCCGCGUGCAGGAAGACUGCCCUAUGGGUUGUAAACUGCUUUUAUACGGGAAUAAACCUACUUACGUGUAAGUAGCUGAAUGUACUGUAAGAAUAAGGAUCGGCUAACUCCGUGC